CGCCUCUGGCUGGCGAGAAGCUGCUCGAGGAGAGAAAGACGGGGUGACCUGAGAGACCGGCUCGCCCCGGCACGGGCCGCCAGCGCAGUUACCCGUCCGGGCGCGAGCCGCCGCCGCCUGCUGCUUCUCGGUUGCCGCCUCCGCUCCGCAGCACAGCCUGCGCUGUCGCCCGAUCCCGCCUCCGCCUCCUUCUUGGCGCCCGCAGGACCCGCACGCUACGGCCCCGGGUGGAGGAGAGCGCAGGGACAGUGCCAAGGAAGCCGGGCAAAUUCCUGAGGGCCGGGUGGGAGCCCGGCGUCCGCGAGGUCGGCACUGCGGGAGUCUGACUCCCACUCUCCUUGCCUAGACCGGGUGCGACCGUCCCCGCGCUCGCCGCCGCCGCCGCUGCCUCCGCUCGUAUCCGCGCUCGGCUCCGGCACCGGGCGAUUAUCACUGGGGCGCGCGGUGACGUCACCCGACACCGGCUCUGCCGCCUCCUCUCGGAGGUGUCCUUGAGAACUGAGGGGCACGCGCACCGCGUACACGCGCACUCACGCACCGCGCGACCCGUGCCUCCCGCGCACACGCUCGGCGUCCCGCUCCGCGCGCUCCUCGACUCACACGGAUGCAGCCCUCGAACGCCUUCGAUUGUGCCCGGCGCCCCGGGGUCACACGUAUGCAGAGAAACUGCCUCUUGGACACUCUCGAACCGCUCAUUCUGUCCUACUGCACGACCCACGCAAAAGCUUCUCCCGCAGCCCACCGACCGCAGCUCCUCUACACCCACCACCAGCCACACCCCGCUGUGCAGCGAACACACUGUGCUUGCCUCACACAAGCGGCUGGUCCUUCCGGAAUAACCACUCUACACAGUGGCUUCUGAGCCUCUCUCUCCUGGGGGGGGGAAAGAAAGGGGUCCUAGCCUCCUGCUGGCGGCCCUAUGUGGAGAAGGGAGUUAGACAUCUCCCCCAACCCCCAUCAGAGACUGCUCCCCUUUUUCACCCUUUUUCUAGCUGGGUAGCGAGUCCUUGCUUACGAGGAUGGGAGAAACACAGUCCAUACUUCACAGUUGACUGCAAUUGAAUCUACUCUUUGCAGUCUAUUGAAGGGUGACUACCUUGAUCUGGGUCUUUAGGGCUAGAGAUCAGCGGCUUUCCAAAAAUAAAAAACAAAAAAAAAAAAAAAAAAAAACCCACGCCACUCUAGGCCUUCCCAGCGGGCCUUUGUUCCUGCAGACUGGAAGAACCACACAGAAGUAGGCAGGCCUCUGUCCUAUCCUUUCUCCCUGGGCCAACCCAGCCCUUGACCACCUGCCCUCUAACAGAAGCUAAAUGACCCAGGCAUAAAUUCUUCCCCCUCCCUUUCCAACCUUCUCCAGCCCCGUGGGAACCCCCGAAGACACUCAGCUGGGAAGGAGGUGCCAGUCUCAACCGACGCUAGAGAAUCCCCUCUUACACAGACAGCUAAGCCCACCUUUGCUUAUGCCCAACCCAAAGUCAAGGAAACCACCCACGGCCUGCCAGCACCUGCAGCCCGAGGGACACUGGCUGGUGGCUCAAGAGUGGAGGAUCUAGACUCCGAGCAGAGGCUACUCCCUGUUGGAACCAGCUCCUCUUUGCCUGGCCAGUGGUCCCUCUCCCUAGAGGGUACUGGGUCAGGUCCCCAGCACCGUCCAUGACACCAAACCUUCACGGUCUGCUGUCCAUGGUGUAGACAGCAAAGCCUGCCCGAAUCGCUUCCCAUCCGCGGAGCCUGGAUCCUCGCCCAGAAAAGGCGCUCCCAGGACAGCAGACCCUUUACCAUCCCUCAGCCCCACCCUCGGCUUUUGCAGUGGUCUAACACAUCUCCGCUUCUAGCCUGCCCAGAUCUCGUUUCUAUUCG
rnacentral:lncRNA from 1 species